CCAAUAGCGUAUAUUAAAGUUGUUGCAGUUAAAAAGCUCGUAGUUGAACUUCGGGGUUCACCCAUUGGUCAGGCUUAAUUGUCUGUACUGGUGAGAUGAGUCUCUACCUUCUGAGGAACUUUCAUGCCAUUUGUUUGGUGUGAUUGGAAAUCAGGACUGUUACUUUGAAAAAAUUAGAGUGUUUAAAGCAGGCUAACGUCUGAAUACAUUAGCAUGGAAUAAUGAAAUAGGAAGGAUUGAUUCUAUUUCGUUGGUUUCUAGGGUCACCGUAAUGAUUAAUAGGGAUAGUUGGGGGCAAUAGUAUUCAAUUGUCAGAGGUGAAAUUCUUGGAUUUAUUGAAGACUAACUACUGCGAAAGCAUUUGCCAAGGAUGUUUUCAUUAAUCAAGAACGAAAGUUAGGGGAUCGAAGACGAUCAGAUACCGUCGUAGUCUUAACCAUAAACUAUGCCGACUAGGGAUCGGACGCAGUUAAUUUUAUAAUGACGUGUUCGGCACCUUACG
rnacentral:misc_RNA from 1 species